rnacentral:misc_RNA from 1 species
AACGCACAUUGCGCCUCCUGUUACAGGGAGGCAUGCCUGUCUGAGCGUCAUUUAAACUCCAUGCCCGACGGCGCGCUCCGCCGUCGGCGUGUUGGGCCCUCGUCGGACGUCAGUGUCGACGUGGCCUUGAAUCCAUCGGUCGAGUCGAGCGGACGAGAUCCUCUGGGACAGGAGACCGUUCACGAGACCCUAAAUGCCGUCUGAAUUUUGACCUCAGAUCAGGUAGGAACACCGCCUGAACUUAA